CCUACGGGGGGCUGCAGUGGGGAAUAUUGGGCAAUGGACGCAAGUCUGACCCAGCAACGCCGCGUGAAGGAAGAAGGCUUUCGGGUUGUAAACUUCUUUUAAGGGGGAAGAGCAGAAGACGGUACCCCUUGAAUAAGCCACGGCGAACUACGUGCCAGCAGCCGCGGUAAUACGUAGGUGGCAAGCGUUGUCCGGAUUUACUGGGUGUAAAGGGCGUGCAGCCGGUGAGACAAGUCAGGAGUGAAAUCCACGGGCUCAACCCGGGAACUGCUUUUGAAACUAUUUCCCUUGAGUGUCGGAGAGGUAAGCGGAAUUCCUAGUGUAGCGGUGAAAUGCGUAGAUAUAAGGAGGAACACCGGUGGCGAAGGCGGAUUACUGGACGAUAACUGACGGUGAGGCGCGAAAGUGUGGGGAGCAAACAGGAUUAGAUACCCGUGUAGUC
rnacentral:rRNA from 1 species